rnacentral:rRNA from 1 species
CUACGGGGGGCUCCAGUGGGGAAUUUUGGACAAUGGGCGCAAGCCUGAUCCAGCCAUUCCGCGUGAGUGAAGAAGGCCUUCGGGUUGUAAAGCUCUUUCGCAAGGGAAGAAAACUUAUCCUCUAACAUAGGGUGAGGUUGACGGUACCUUGAUAAGAAGCACCGGCUAACUACGUGCCAGCAGCCGCGGUAAUACGUAGGGUGCGAGCGUUAAUCGGAAUUACUGGGCGUAAAGCGUGCGCAGGCUGUUUUGUAAGUCAGAUGUGAAAUCCCCGAGCUCAACUUGGGAACUGCGUUUGAAACUACAAGACUAGAAUAUGUCAGAGGGGGGUAGAAUUCCAUGUGUAGCAGUGAAAUGCGUAGAGAUGUGGAGGAAUACCAAUGGCGAAGGCAGCCCCCUGGGAUAAUAUUGACGCUCAUGCACGAAAGCGUGGGGAGCAAACAGGAUUAGAUACCCGUGUAGUC